rnacentral:rRNA from 1 species
GUUGAUGGGAUACCUAAAGUUCCCAUAGCAAACUGCUCAGUAACACAUGAUCAACUUACCCUAUAGAGAAAAAUAACCUCGGGAAACUGAGGAUAAUGUUUCAUAAUUGAAUUGGCUUGGAAAAGUUUUUCAAUGAAAAGGAUAAAAAAAAUGGUUUUUAUCUGCUAUAGGAUAGGAUCGUGUUCGAUUAUGGUUGUUGGUGAGAUAAUGGCUCACCAAGCCGAUAAUCGAUAGGGGCCGUGAGAGCGGGAGCCCCGAGAUGGGUACUGAGACAACGACCCAGGCCUUACGAGGCGCAGCAGGCGCGGAACCUCCGCAAUACACGAAAGUGUGACGGGGUUACCCAAAGUGUUCAAUAGAACUGUGGUAGGUGAGUAAUGUCCCCUACUAGAAAGGAGAGGGCAAGGCUGGUGCCAGCCGCCGCGGUAAAACCAGCUCUUCAAGUGGUCGGGAUAAUUAUUGGGCUUAAAGUGUCCGUAGCCGGUUUAGUAAGUUCCUGGUAAAAUCGGGUAGCUUAACUAUCUGCAUGCUAGGAAUACUGCUAUACUAGAGGGCGGGAGAGGUCUGAGGUACUACAGGGGUAGGGGUGAAAUCUUAUAAUCCUUGUAGGACCACCAGUGGCGAAGGCGUCAGACUGGAACGCGCCUGACGGUGAGGGACGAAAGCCAGGGGAGCGAACCGGAUUAGAUACCCGGGUAGUCCUGGCCGUAAACGAUGCAUACUAGGUGAUGGUACGGCCAUGAGCCGUAUCAGUGCCGUAGGGAAACCGUUAAGUGUGCCGCCUGGGAAGUACGGUCGCAAGGCUAAAACUUAAAGGAAUUGGCGGGGGAGCACCACAA